ACAAUUAUUUUUCACCAAUUAGCCCACACUAUUUUUUUUCUUUUCUUCGUUCUUCUUCCUCCUCUUUCAUGACUUUCCACCCCAAAAUUUCUAUAUCAUUAUAUAUGUUCUUACAUUCUCCUUUUAGAUUCAAAGUUGAUAAUCACUAUUAAGAUGAGAAGAAAAAAUACCAUUUAAGAGAAUUAUUAUUUUUAGAGUCACCAUUAAAGAUCAUUCGAAGCUUCAAUUUCAAAAACUAGAGUUUUUGAUUUUGUUAGUUGUUUAGAUUGGGUGUUGGCCCAAUUGAUUGGGAUCGUCAAUGGGAGUUCAAAACUCAAAUUUGAAGUGAUUUGGAGCAUAUUUGAGCUAGAUUUGAAUUGAAUAUCAGAAGAUGUCCAAAGAAGAAGAAGAACCUGUGAAGCUCCAUUAAUAUGAUUCAUUUGUAUAAUAGUGUAUAAGUAAUGUAUAAUGAUUUAUAAACACCUCUUAUACAUUAUUUUAUACAAGGUUGAUACAUUAUUUAUAUGUAUUUGGUGGAUUUCUCACAUUUUCUUCUUCUUCUUCUUCUUCUACACCUAUAUAUAUGGUGUAUCACUAACAUUUUCA
rnacentral:lncRNA from 1 species